rnacentral:rRNA from 1 species
UAAACUAGGAUUAGAUACCCUAUUAUUAAAAAUGUAAAUUUUUUUACUUAAUUAGUAUUAGUUAUGUUCUUGAAAAUUAAAAAAUUUGGCGGUAUUUUAGUCUUUUCAGAGGAACCUGUUCUAUAAUCGAUAGUCCACGAUUAGAUGCACUUUAUUUAUUAGUUUAUAUAUCGUCGUAGUUUAAAUAUUUUAAUAGAAUUAUAAAUAUUUAAAAUUUUUUAUUAAAAAAUAAAUCAGAUCAAGGUGUAGUUUAUAACAAAGAAGAAAUGGGUUACAAUAAAUUUAAAUGAAAAUAAUUUUUGUUAAAAAAAUUUGAAUUUGGAUUUGAGAGUAAUUUUUUAGAUUUUUUUAAGAUGAUUAAAGCUCUAAAAUAUGUACACAUCGCCCGUCGCUCUUAA